rnacentral:rRNA from 1 species
AUGGCUCAGGAUGAACGCUGGCGGCGUGCAUAACACAUCAAGUCGAACGGAGUGCAGGGAACAGCAAUGAGACCUGCAUUAGUGGCGGACGGGUGAGUAACGCGUGAGCAACCUACCUUUCAAAGCGGGAUAACACAGGGAAACUUGUGCUAAUACCGCAUGACACAUAGCCUUCGCAUGGGGGGUAUGUCAAAAGGGCAACCUGAUGAAAGAUGGGCUCGCGUCUGAUUAGAUAGUUGGUGAGGUAACGGCUCACCAAGUCUGCGAUCAGUAGCCGGACUGAGAGGUCGAACGGCCACAUUGGAACUGAGAAACGGUCCAGACUCCUACGGGAGGCAGCAGUGGGGAAUAUUGGGCAAUGGGCGAAAGCCUGAACCCCCAGCGACGCCGCGUGAAGGAUGAAGGUCUUCGGAUUGUAAACUUCUGUAGACAGGGACGAAAGCAAUGACGGUACCUGUAAAGUAAGCCACGGCUAACUACGUGCCAGCCGCCGC